ACAGCUUGGAAAACCACGAAUGCAGCGAA
rnacentral:sRNA from 1 species